rnacentral:rRNA from 1 species
AAUAUUGGACAAUGGGCGAAAGCCUGAUCCAGCCAUGCCGCGUGUGUGAAGAAGGUCUUCGGAUUGUAAAGCACUUUAAGUUGGGAGGAAGGGUUGUAGGUUAAUACCCUGCAAUUUUGACGUUACCAACAGAAUAAGCACCGGCUAACUACGUGCCAGCAGCCGCGGUAAAACGUAGGAGGCAAGCGUUAUCCGGAGUUACUGGGCGUAAAGCGCGAGCAGGCGGUUAGGCAAGUUGGGUGUGAAAGCUCCCGGCUAAACCGGGAGAGUGCAUUCAAGACUGACGGGCUAGAGUACGGUAGAGGGUAGUGGAAUUUCCUGUGUAGCGGUGAAAUGCGUAGAUAUAGGAAGGAACAUCAGUGGCGAAGGCGACUACCUGGACUGAUACUGACACUGAGGUGCGAAAGCGUGGGGAGCAAACAGG